GACGAACGCUGGCGGCGUGCUUAACACAUGCAAGUCGAACGGAAAGGCCCUGCUUUUGUGGGGUGCUCGAGUGGCGAACGGGUGAGUAACACGUGAGUAACCUGCCCUUGACUUUGGGAUAACUUCAGGAAACUGGGGCUAAUACCGGAUAGGAGCUCCUGCUGCAUGGUGGGGGUUGGAAAGUUUCGGCGGUUGGGGAUGGACUCGCGGCUUAUCAGCUUGUUGGUGGGGUAGUGGCUUACCAAGGCUUUGACGGGUAGCCGGCCUGGGAGGGUGACCGGCCACAUUGGGACUGCGGUACGGCCCAGACUCCUACGGGAGGCAGCAGUGGGGAAUAUUGCACAAUGGGCGGAAGCCUGAUGCAGCAACGCCGCGUGCGGGAUGACGGCCUUCGGGUUGUAAACCGCUUUCGCCUGUGACGAAGCGUGAGUGACGGUAAUGGGUAAAGAAGCACCGGCUAACUACGUG
rnacentral:rRNA from 1 species